rnacentral:misc_RNA from 1 species
AACGCACAUUGCGCCCUUUGGUAUUCCUUAGGGCAUGCCUGUUCGAGCGUCAUUUAAACCCUCAAGCACAGCUUGGUGUUGGGCGUCUGUCUCCCCAGGGGACUCGCCUCAAAUGCAUUGGCAGCCGGUACGUUGGCUUCGAGCGCAGCAGAAAAGCGCCUGGCGUCUGACGGUACGGGCUCUCCAGCAAGCCUCUUCUAUAUUUUGACCUCGGAUCAGGUAGGGAUACCCGCUGAACUUAA